rnacentral:rRNA from 1 species
AUUGAACGCUGGCGGCAGGCCUAACACAUGCAAGUCGAGCGGAGCGGCGGACGGGUGAGUAAUGCCUAGGAAUCUGCCUGGUAGUGGGGGAUAACGUCCGGAAACGGGCGCUAAUACCGCAUACUAUCAGAUGAGCCUAGGUCGGAUUGGCUAGUCGGUGGGGUAAAGGCCUACCAAGGCGACGAUCCGCAACUGGGCUGAGAGGAUGAUCAGUAACACUGGAACUGAGACGCGGCCCAGACUCCUACGGGAGGCAGCAGUGGGGAAGAUUGCACAAUGGGCGCAAGCCUGAGUCAGCCAUGCCGCGUGUAUGAAGAAGGCCUUAGGGUUGUAAAGUACUUUCAGCGGGGAGGCGUUACCCGCAGAAGAAGCACCGGCUAACUCCGUGCCAGCAGCCGCGGUAAUAC